GAACGUGUUAUAAAAAAUGCGAAGAUAAAGGUUUCUACGUUACAAAUCGAAUUGCAUGUCUACUUUCAACAAAAGGAAUUAUGGUAGACUGAAAUAUACUGUAAAGGAGUGGAAGCGAGACCUCAUAAAUGGGAUUGGAUGGUGCCAAUGGAUUCCAAUGGAAAUUUAAAAAGACAGUGUCGAUUAGCAUAUUUCGACCCACUUCACUACUCUGCAGCACAUCCCAGACUACCACUGACAAGGAGAACUUACGAUUAUGGAAAUUGCCUUUGAAAUGAGAGUGGGUUGAAGUUACAGUACAUACCUAACACAUCAAAGAACUAUAAUAAGAUUUUUCAAAAUACACCUUCGUUUUUGACAUAUUUUAA